UCCGCCAUGUAGGUCCUGGGACUCAGGUCAUCAGGCCCAGUGACAAGCCCCUUUACCCACAGAGCCACCCUGAUAGUUUAAGUAGCAUUUCUUCAUGAUGAAAUGUGGACUUGAACUCUCUCCAGAUACAGUGUUAGCCAGAGCUAUGGCUGCCUGCCGGGAGGCUUAGUUUAACCCGAUGAGCGUAACAAUUUCUACAGGUAAACAGAUGAACUGACUCUUAGGUCUGCCUCGGGCCAUUUCCGUGACCCUUGCCGGAAGUAGAGCUUUCUAGAGCCCCCAGCUCUUCCUGCUCUUCCUGAUCCCUUGCUUCUCUAAAGCUUGAGCCAGCCAUCUGGUUCUCCCCGCUGCUUUAGACAGCGCACUCUGGCAAUCCUAAUCCAGAACACAGACGAAUUCUGCACAAUGCCUAGGACAAUUUGUAUGUACAUUCUAGCACUCAACCCUACUAAAGCAAUCCUCGGAAACUCUAGGGAGUGACUUCUAGGAGAAAGGUACGGGUUAACCAGUGAGCUGACCCAGACUGACAUGUCUAAGUUUCUGGUGCAGGUAACUGAACCCAGGGCCUCCCACAUGCUGGGUAAGAGCUCAACCACUGAGCUACCCCUCCUCCCCAACCUCCAAUGAGACAGUUAAGAAGCAGAGACAUUGCCAGCCUGGUCCUCACAGUUCCAGACCAGCCAGGGUGACAUGGUGAAACCUUAUCUCAAACAAACACCCACCCAGAGACAGAAAGAAAAGUGGUGAAAAUUCAGGGGAGAGUGCGAGUCUCCUGAGCCCGCGUCAGUGGAGGUUCAAGACAGCACCAGCCUCUUCCCUGGGACAGCUUCACACACAUCUGCACACAUCCUAGCAGGCGGCAGGAUUUCCAAUCAUCGGACAUUUGAAAACUUUAACACAGAGUUUUACAGUGCACAGCUAGGCUUUGUGCAUUGACGACGAGGUGAGAGACCAGCAGGAUGAGCACGUCAGGGCACUUCCUGUUGAGCCUGAGGACCUGGAACUGACGUGGUGGGAGGAGCAAACUGACCCCUGCCACCUAAGCUGCCCUCUGGCCUCCACAGAGGCUCCCAACACACACACACACACACACACACACACAAUACGGACAAUGUCAGCGGUAAGGCGAACAGCUUCAUCAAGCCGGUCUUUCCUGCACGGGACGCUCUGGUAACAGACAUACUUGGGGACUACCACCAGCAGUGUGACCAGGUACUCGGAGUCAAGAACAAAGUCAUCUUUCUUCACGAUCUCUGCCAGGCUCCGAGUCAGCAAACUUCCCCUGGAGGAUGAGAGGAGAGUCACUGGGUCAUGAAAAUGCUUGUCUAUGCUUGGACUAUGACACAACUCUGAACAGCUCUGCACCUGACGCUACACGCGGCGGCUGACAGAUGCUCAGCGGUUGUGAGCACUUGCCGCACCAACCAUGUGGACAGAGUUCAGACACCAGCGUCCGUCCGUGUAAGGGGCUGUGCACAAUCAUGCACACGCCUAAAACCAAGAACUGAGGGGCGUGGGGACAGGGUGACCCGAGGCCCGAAGAGGGUGCCAGAAGAGGGGACCUGAUGAGUUCCUCUGCCCUCCAUGCAAAGGUGUGUGCACCAUUCACCCACACACCACACUCACACACAUGUAAAAUAAA